rnacentral:rRNA from 1 species
UACGGAGGGUGCAAGCGUUGUCCGGAUUUAUUGGGUUUAAAGGGUGCGUAGGCGGCUUUUUAAGUCAGUGGUGAAAGACAACAGCUCAACUGUUGCAGUGCCAUUGAUACUGAAGAGCUUGAGUACAGAUGAGGUAGGCGGAAUUUAUGGUGUAGCGGUGAAAUGCAUAGAUACCUAAAGAACACCUAUUGCGAAGGCAGCUUACUAGCUGUAACUGACGCUGAGGCACGAAAGUGUGGGGAUCAAACAGGGAUUAGAAUAACCCGAAGUAG